rnacentral:snRNA from 1 species
UACUGGUGUCGUACCAUCCAA